UUUGCGGACCAUACAACCCUGAAUGCACCCGAUCUCGUCAGAUCUUGGGAGCUAACCAAGGUAGGGUCUGGUUAGUAUUUGAAUGGCAGCCAGCAUAA
rnacentral:rRNA from 1 species